AGAGCGAACGCUGGCGGCAGGCUUAACACAUGCAAGUCGAGCGGGCGUAGCAAUACGUCAGCGGCAGACGGGUGAGUAACGCGUGGGAACGUACCUUUUGGUUCGGAACAACCCAGGGAAACUUGGGCUAAUACCGGAUAAGCCCUUACGGGGAAAGAUUUAUCGCCGAAAGAUCGGCCCGCGUCUGAUUAGCUAGUUGGUGAGGUAAUGGCUCACCAAGGCGACGAUCAGUAGCUGGUCUGAGAGGAUGAUCAGCCACAUUGGGACUGAGACACGGCCCAAACUCCUACGGGAGGCAGCAGUGGGGAAUAUUGGACAAUGGGCGCAAGCCUGAUCCAGCCAUGCCGCGUGAGUGAUGAAGGCCCUAGGGUUGUAAAGCUCUUUUGUGCGGGAAGAUAAUGACGGUACCGCAAGAAUAAGCCCCGGCUAACGUUCGCGCCAGCAGCCGC
rnacentral:rRNA from 1 species